GCAGACACAUUCCAGCCAAUCAGCAGCAGACCCUCCCUCCCAGACCCUCCCACCCCCUGGACAGCUCACUAAGAAUGCAGCUUCACAAUGAAUGUAAAAUGGAUGCUGUCCAGGAGGUGGGAGGGUCUGGGAGGGAGGGUCUGCUGCUGAUUGGCUGGAAUGUGUCUG